rnacentral:rRNA from 1 species
GGGGAAUAUUGGGCAAUGGAGGAAACUCUUACCCAGCAAUGCCGCGUGAGUGAUGAAGGUCUUUGGAUUGUAAAGCUCUUUGAUUGGGGACGAAUAAAUGACGGUACCCAAAGAACAAGCCCCGGCUAACUAUGUGCCAGCAGCCGCGGUAAUACAUAGGGGGCGAGCGUUGUCCGGAAUGACUGGGCGUAAAGGGUGUGUAGGCGGUUUAUUAAGUUAGAAGUGUAAUACCUAGAGCUUAACUCAGGUGCUGCUUCUAAAACUGGUGAACUUGAGUGUAGGAGAGGAUGAUGGAAUUCCUAGUGUAGCGGUGGAAUGCGCAGAUAUUAGGAGGAACACCAGAGGCGAAAGCGAUCAUCUGGACUACAACUGACGCUGAGGCACGAAAGCGUGGGGAGCAAAC